CUUGGUGGUGGCUUCUGAUGCUCAUGUUUGGAGACGCACCAUAAAAGGUGCCGGGGCUUCUCCCGUUUUAAGAGAGACGGGAGAAGG
rnacentral:tRNA from 1 species